rnacentral:rRNA from 1 species
CGGGGUGCAGCAGGCGCGAAAACUUUACAAUGCCGGCAACGGCGAUAGGGGAACCUCGAGUGCCAGGUUACAAAUCUGGCUGUCGUGAUGCCUAAAAAGCAUUGCAUAGCAAGGGCCGGGCAAGACCGGUGCCAGCCGCCGCGGUAACGCCGGCGGCUCGAGUGGUAACCGUUAUUAUUGGGUCUAAAGGGUCUGUAGCCGGCCGGAUAAGUCUCUUGGGAAAUCUGGCAGCUUAACUGUCAGGCUUUUAGGAGAUACUGUCUGGCUCGAGGCCGGGAGAGGUGAGAGGUACUUCAGGGGUAGGGGUGAAAUCUUGUAAUCCUUGAAGGACCACCAGUGGCGAAGGCGUCUCACCAGAACGGACCUGACGGCAAGGGACGAAAGCUAGGGGCACGAACCGGAUUAGAUACCCGGGUAGUCCUAGCCGUAAACGAUACUCGCUAGGUGUCGGCCACGGUGCGACCGUGGUCGGUGCCGUAGGGAAGCCGUGAAGCGAGCCACCUGGGAAGUACGGCCGCAAGGCUGAAACUUAAAGGAAUUGGCGGGGGAGCACAA